GAUGAACGCUGGCGGCGUGCUUAACACAUGCAAGUCGAACGGUGAAGCAGAGCUUGCUCUGUGGAUCAGUGGCGAACGGGUGAGUAACACGUGAGCAACCUGCCCCUGACUCUGGGAUAAGCGCUGGAAACGGCGUCUAAUACUGGAUAUGAGCUGCGACCGCAUGGUCAGCAGUUGGAAAGAUUUUUCGGUCUGGGAUGGGCUCACGGCCUAUCAGCUUGUUGGUGAGGUAAUGGCUCACCAAGGCGUCGACGGGUAGCCGGCCUGAGAGGGUGACCGGCCACACUGGGACUGAGACACGGCCCAGACUCCUACGGGAGGCAGCAGUGGGGAAUAUUGCACAAUGGGCGAAAGCCUGAUGCAGCAACGCCGCGUGAGGGAUGACGGCCUUCGGGUUGUAAACCUCUUUUAGCAGGGAAGAAGCGAAAGCGACGGUACCUGCAGAAAAAGCGCCGGCUAACUAC
rnacentral:rRNA from 1 species